AGCAGCCGCGGUAAUUCCAGCUCCAAUAGCGUAUAUUAAAGUUGUUGCAGUUAAAAAGCUCGUAGUUGAAUUUCGGGAUCAAUUUAUUGGUCGUGCUAUUGUACGUACUGGUCUUUCUGAUUCCUCCUUCCUGAUGAACUGUAAUGCCAUUAAUUUGGUGUUGCAGGGAAUCUGGACUGUUACUUUGAAAAAAU
rnacentral:rRNA from 1 species